rnacentral:rRNA from 1 species
AUUGAACGCUGGCGGCAGGCCUAACACAUGCAAGUCGAACGAGUGGCGGACGGGUGAGUAAUGUCUGGGAAACUGCCUGAUGGAGGGGGAUAACUACUGGAAACGGUAGCUAAUACCGCAUACCAUCGGAUGUGCCCAGAUGGGAUUAGCUAGUAGGUGGGGUAACGGCUCACCUAGGCGACGAUCCCUUGCUGGUCUGAGAGGAUGACCAGCCACAAUGGAAGUGAGACACGGUCCAGACUCCAACGAGAGGCAGCAGUGGGGAAUAUUGAACAAUGGGCGCAAGCCGGAUGCAGCCAUGCCGCGUGUAUGAAGAAGGCCUUCGGGUUGUAAAGGACUUUCAGCGAGGAGGCGUUACCCGCAGAAGAAGCUCCGGCUAACUCCGUGCCAGCAGCCGCGGUAAUUC